GAUGAACGCUGGCGGCGUGCCUAAUACAUGCAAGUCGAGCGAACGGACGAGAAGCUUGCGUCUCUGAUGUUAGCGGCGGACGGGUGAGUAACGCGUGGAUAACCUACUUAUAAGACUGGGAUAACUUCGGGAAACCGGAUCUAAUAGCGGAUAAUAUUUUGAACCGCAGGGUUCAAAAGUAAAAGACGGCCUUUGUGUCACUUAUAGAGGGUUCCGCGCUGCAUGAGCUAGUUGGUAAGGUAACGGCUUACCAAGGCUACGAUGCAUAGCCGAGCUGAGAGGCUGAUAGGCCACACUGGAACUGAGACACGGUCCAGACUCCUACGGGAGGCAGCAGUCGGGAAUCUUCCGCAACGGGCGAAAGCCUGACGGAGCAACGGCGCGUGAGUGAUGAAGGUCUUCGGAUCGUAAAGCUCUGUUAUUGGGGAAGAACAUAUGUGGAAGUAACUGUGCACAUCUUGACGGUACCGAAUCAGAAAGCAACGGCUAACUACGUG
rnacentral:rRNA from 1 species